UACGUAGGCAGCAAGCGUUGUUCGGAGUUACUGGGCGUAAAGAGCGUGUAGGCGGCCAGGUAGGUCUGCUGUGAAAACUCGAGGCUCAACCUCGAGACGUCGGCGGAAACCAUCUGGCUAGAGUCCGGAAGAGGAGAGUGGAAUUCCUGGUGUAGCGGUGAAAUGCGCAGAUAUCAGGAAGAACACCCGUGGCGAAGGCGGCUCUCUGGGACGGUACUGACGCUGAGACGCGAAAGCGUGGGGAGCGAACAGG
rnacentral:rRNA from 1 species